CAAACAGCAAGCUAUAAGGGACCACAACUUAGUAUUGUACACAAUUGAACAGGAAAACCAACGAUCUAAUUUAUAUUUCCAAACGGGAAAAUACCAAUGAAUUAUGAACCACAUCAACAAACGAUAACUGCUGAACGACAGGUCCCUGAAUCAAUCAAGACAGGUGCACAAAACUGCAGCGGGUAUGCCCGUCAGCAUACAUCAUAAUUGCAGUUGAAGGCAAAUCCUUCA
rnacentral:lncRNA from 1 species